GAGAAUGAAUAGAUGAGACAUGGGAAUACACCAUUGGAUAUUACACUCUAGUAAAUACCUUUUGGUGUGUACACUUUGUUCUGCGCAUAUUUUUUGGUAGUUGAAAAAUUCAAAGAAGCAUUUGAUCGCACUUUACUUAAUCCUGCGAAUACAAGGUUAGUGUGACAUUUUAAAGAAAACAAUUAAAUAGGAUUAUGGAAAUAGUAAACAGGAACUUAC